UACAGAGGGGGCAAGCGUUAUUCGGAAUUAUUGGGCGUAAAGGGCGCGUAGGCGGCCUGUUAAGUCGAACGUGAAAUCCCUGGGCUCAACCCAGGAACUGCGUCCGAUACUGGCAGGCUUGAAUUCGGGAGAGGGAUGCAGAAUUCCAGGUGUAGCGGUGAAAUGCGUAGAUAUCUGGAGGAAUACCGGUGGCGAAGGCGGCAUCCUGGACCGACAUUGACGCUGAACGGCGAAAGCUAGGGGAGCAAACGGG
rnacentral:rRNA from 1 species